UGGGUGAUCUGCCCUGCACUUCGGGAUAAGCCUGGGAAACUGGGUCUAAUACCGGAUAUACCUCAUUGAUCUCCUGGUUGGUGGGGAAAGCUUUUGCGGUGUGGGAUGGGCCCGCGGCCUAUCAGCUUGUUGGUGAGGUUACGGCUCACCAAGGCGUCGACGGGUAGCAGGCCUGAGAGGGCGACCGGCCACACUGGGACUGAGACACGGCCCAGACUCCUACGGGAGCAG
rnacentral:rRNA from 1 species